GACGUAGGAGGCGAGCGUUAUCCGGAUUCACUGGGCGUAAAGGGCAUGUAGGCGGUUGUGUAAGUCGUGUGUUAAAGCCCCUGGCUCAACUGGGGGAGGUCAUGCGAGACUACACUGACUUGAGGGCAGCAGAGGCACGUGGAACUCCCGGUGUAGCGGUGGAAUGCGUAGAGAUCGGGAAGAACACCCGUGGCGAAGGCGACGUGCUGGGCUGCGACUGACGCUGAAAUGCGAAAGUGUGGGGAGCAAACGGG
rnacentral:rRNA from 1 species